CUCUGACAGGUCAUAUUAAACAGAAGGCACAUUAAACACACCGAAUGCACCAAAAAUCUUUGUCAUCAUCUCUUUGUAUCAGAACCAACACAUACAUACAUACAUAGUUCUCUCACCGAUUAAGAGUUAAACGAGAUAAUGUAUAGACCGGUGUCAUCGAGUGAUGGAGUACCGCCUAGUGAUAGUAGUAGUGUAGGCGAAGAUGUUGUUGUGAGUCUUGACCAAGUACCUAAAUGGAUCAAUGACGGAACUUGUUAUGAACAUGACUAUUAUCAAAGUAUGCACUUUCCGGACCCGUCUUUUGAGGGAGAGAGUAGUGGAAAUGGAUCAAUGAUUUCGAGGUUUCCGGUGGAUGAUGAGGUUAACUCCAAGGUUUAUUUGUGGAGAGGAAACCCUUGGAAUCUGGAGGUUGAUGCUGUUGUUAACUCUACCAAUGAGAACAUGGAUGAAGCACACUGCACCCCUGGAUUGCAUUCUGCAGCAGGGCCUGGUCUAGCUGAAGAAUGUGCAACUUUGGGUGGUUGCAGAACAGGGAUGGCAAAAGUUACUAAUGCGUAUUAUUUACCUGCAAGGAAGGUUAUACAUACUGUUGGGCCUAAAUAUGCUGUAAAAUAUCAUACUGCUGCAGAAAAUGCUUUGAGCCACUGCUAUCGUUCUUCUCUAGAACUUCUUGUCGAGAACGGACUUCAGAGCAUUGCUUUUGGCUGUAUAUACACAGAAGCAAAACAGUAUCCACGGGAACCAGCUGCUCAUGUAGCAAUAAGAACCGUCCGCAGGUUUCUUGAGAAACAAAAGGAUAAAAUCACAGGUGUGGUAUUCUGCACAUUUACAGCAAAUGAUACCGAAAUAUAUAAGAGAUUGCUUCCACUGUACUUUCCUCGCGAGAAAAAGGAGGAAAGGAUUGCCGUUACAAAACUUCCUGUUGAUGUUGGGGAUGUAAAUGGUGAGACGAUUAUAGAUGAACGCAAAAUCAGAAUAAAAGCCUUACCCAAUAUGAAAAAAACUAAUCCAAAAGCUCCGCAGACCUCGGUAGAUAUUCCUGUCAGUGAUCGUGGAUUGGCUAGAAGGAACUCUUCAUAUUUGGACUCAUAUCUAGAUCCAGGUUUCAUGUCCCUUAUCAAGGAUCCAGAUCAACGGCGUAAGGAACAGUGGGAAAAAACUGCACAAGCACAAAAUGGGUUUAACUUUGCUAAAAUUCUUGGAUUUGGUGAUCUUGGUAGGCCGCCACUUUCAGCUUCUGAAGAAUACUCACUCCAUUCUAGAUACCUUGCCAAGGCGAACUCUGUCAACCUUUCUGAAAUAUCAGAAAUGAAGAUUGUGUACCGAGGAGGAGUAGAUAGUGAUGGUCGUCCGGUCAUGGUUGUUGUUGGCGCACAUUUUCUUCUUCGUUGUCUCAAUCUUCAGAGAUUUGUACUCUACAUAGUAAAGGAGUUUGAGCCAUUGAUUCAGAAUGCCUAUAGCAUCGUAUACUUCCACUCUGCUGCUUCUUUACAAGUGCAACCAGAUCUUGGAUGGAUGAGGAAAUUACAACAAAUACUUGGCACAAAAAGCCAGCGCAAUCUUCAUGCAAUCUAUGUACUCCACCCAACAUUUGGACUAAAGACUGCAGUCUAUACAAUGCAACUUUUAGUCGAUGGAGUGGUGUGGAAAAAGGUUGUAUAUGUUGAUAGGCUUCUUCAUCUAUUCAAAUACGUUCCUCGUGAGCAACUAACCAUCCCAGACUUUGUUUUUCAGCAUGAUUUGGAAGUGAAUGGAGGGAAGGGUCUUACUGUGGAUACACGGACGAAAUAUGCAUAUAAUCAAACCUAGUGCAUUGGUGUUGGGUGGCACGUGAACCACUCCCGCUCAGCUGCAGCAGGCAUGCCACAUUGACUCCACUGGUGGUGGUGGUGGUGGUGGUGGCGGGGGUGUGGUGGAUACGGCUGGAAAAUCAUUCAAAACAGUUGGGCUAUGAUAAGCCAUAUUAAGUGCAGGUCAUGUAAAGUGUGUUACAGGUACUGUAGUUAGAGGUGACAAAACUUUACCACUUUGGAAACGCUUGGUCGUGCAGUGCAAGUGUUUAGCCCUGUCCUUGUAAUAUCAUGUAUAAUAAUGUAUGCGCAGAAGUAAGGUCUUAGACUCGCAGAAGACAACUGAAAAGUCUCUCGAGGUUUCUGUAUUAAUGUAUCAUACACAACUUUUCAAAUACAAUACAAAUUUACGUA